rnacentral:rRNA from 1 species
UCUUUUUUGGAGAGACACCCCGGGAACUGGGGCUAAUCCCUGAUAAGUGAUGAGGCUUGGAAUAGUUCAUCACCCAAAAGCCUCCAGACCAUGCUCAAAGAGGCGUCCAAGGACAAAGCCGCGACCGAUCAGGCUGUUGGUGGGGCAACGGCCUACCAAACCUAUAACCGGUACGGGCCGUGAGAGCGGGAGCCCGGAGAUGGAUACUGAGACAAGGAUCCAGGCCCUACGGGGCGCAGCAGUUGCGAAAACUCCACAAUGCACGAAAGUGUGAUGGGGCUACCCCGAGUGCCGUCCGCUGAGGAUGGCUUUUCUCUGCUGUAAGGAGGCGGAGGAAUAAGGAGAGGGCAAGUCUGGUGUCAGCCGCCGCGGUAAUACCAGCUCUCCGAGUGGUGGGGACGAUUAUUGGGCCUAAAGCGUCCGUAGCCGGCUUGACAAGUCUUCUGUUAAAUCCAGCAACCUAAUUGUUGGACUGCGGGAGAUACUGUCAGGCUAGAGAACGGGAGAGGUCGACGGUACUCUCAGGGUAGGAGUGAAAUCCUAUAAUCCUGGGAGGACCACCAGUGGCGUAGGCUGUCGGCUAGAACGUGUCCGACGGUGAGGGACGAAAGCUUGGGGAGCGAACCGGAUUAGAUACCCGGGUAGUCCAAGCUGUAAACUAUGCGGGCUAGGUGUAGACGUGGCUACGUGCCACUUCAGUGCCGCAGGGAAGCCGUUAAGCCCGCCGCCUGGGGAGUACGGUCGCAAGGCUGAAACUUAAAGGAAUUGGCGGGGGAGCAC